UGGGGAAUAUUGCACAAUGGGCGCAAGCCUGAUGCAGCAACGCCGCGUGAGCGAGGAAGGCCUUCGGGUCGUAAAGCUCUGUCCUUGGGGAAGAAGGAAGUGACGGUACCCAAGGAGGAAGCCCCGGCUAACUACGUGCCAGCAGCCGCGGUAAUACGUAGGGGGCAAGCGUUAUCCGGAAUUAUUGGGCGUAAAGAGUACGUAGGUGGUUUUGUAAGCGCGGGGUGAAAGGCAGUGGCUUAACCAUUGUUAGCCUUGCGAACUGCAAGACUUGAGUGCAGGAGAGGGAAGCGGAAUUCCUAGUGUAGCGGUGAAAUGCGUAGAUAUUAGGAGGAACACCAGUGGCGAAGGCGGCUUUCUGGACUGUAACUGACACUGAGGUACGAAAGCGUGGGGAGCAAACAGG
rnacentral:rRNA from 1 species